rnacentral:rRNA from 1 species
CAAACAACUCUCGGCAACGAAUAUCUCGCCUCUCGCAUCGUUAAGAAACGUGGCGAAUGGGAAUACUGGUGGGGAUUUGAGGAACCCCGGGAACAUUGGAGUCUUUGACCGAAGGUGGCCCCCAAGCCCUUUGGGCCAAGGGCACGUCUGCUGGGGCGUCAGGC